UGGGGAAUAUUUCACAAUGGAGGGAACUCUGAUGCAGCGACGCCGCGUGAACGAAGAAGGCUUUCGAGUCGUAAAGUUCUUUUAUAUGGGAAGAUAAUGACGGUACCAUAAGAAAAAGCCCCGGCUAACUACGUGCCAGCAGCCGCGGUAAUACGUAGGGGGCUAGCGUUGUCCGGAAUCACUGGGCGUAAAGGGUUCGCAGGCGGAAAUGCAAGUCAGGUGUAAAAGGCAGUAGCUUAACUACUGUAAGCAUUUGAAACUGCAUAUCUUGAGAAGAGUAGAGGUAAGUGGAAUUUUUAGUGUAACGGUAAAAUGCGUGGAUAUUAAAAAGAAUACCGGUGGCGAAGGCGACUUACUGGGCUCAUUCUGACGCUGAGGAACGAAAGCGUGGGUAGCAAACAGG
rnacentral:rRNA from 1 species